rnacentral:rRNA from 1 species
AGUGAACGCUGGCGGUAGGCCUAACACAUGCAAGUCGAACGGCAGCACAGAGGAGCUUGCUCCUUGGGUGGCGAGUGGCGGACGGGUGAGGAAUACAUCGGAGUCUACUCUGUCGUGGGGGAUAACGUAGGGAAACUUACGCUAAUACCGCAUACGACCUACGGGUGAAAGCAGGGGACCUUCGGGCCUUGCGCGAUUGAAUGAGCCGAUGUCGGAUUAGCUAGUUGGCGGGGUAAAGGCCCACCAAGGCGGCGAUCCGUAGCUGGUCUGAGAGGAUGAUCAGCCACACUGGGACUGAGACACGGUCCAGACUCCUACGGGAGGCAGCAGUGGGGAAUAUUGGACAAUGGGCGCAAGCCUGAUCCAGCCAUACCGCGUGGGUGAAGAAGGCCUUCGGGUUGUAAAGCCCUUUUGUUGGGAAAGAAAUCCAGCUGGCUAAUACCCGGUUGGGAUGACGGCACCCAAAGAAUAAGCACCGGCUAACUUCGUGCCAGCCGCCGCAGUAA